UGCCAGCCGCCGCGGUAAUACGAAGGGGGCUAGCGUUGCUCGGAAUCACUGGGCGUAAAGCGCACGCAGGCGGCUUUUCAAGUCGGAUGUGAAAGCCCCGGGCUCAACCCGGGAACUGCAUUCGAAACUGGGAGGCUUGAGUUCGAGAGAGGGUGGUGGAAUUCCUGGUGUAGAGGUGAAAUUCGUUGAUAUCAGGAGGAACAUCGGCGGCGAAGGCGGCCACCUGGCUCGAUACUGACGCUCAUGUGCGAAAGCGUGGGGAGCAAACAGGAUUAGAUA
rnacentral:rRNA from 1 species